GGCCAGGUAGCUCAGUUGGUACGAGCGUCCGCCUGAAAAGCGGAAGGUCGCCGGUUCGACCCCGGCCCUGGCCACCC
rnacentral:tRNA from 5 species